CCUCAGGUCAUUUAAGGGCUAGUCUGGGAAGGGAAAAGGCCUUCUGGAUAAAGGUCACUUCCUGAAAAGGAGUCUUCUAUAGGUAGAGAGCCUUAUCAUCAGUUAGUCCUAGGUGUGUUCUCUUGGUCUGUGUCAAACUUGUCAUGAAAUCUGAGAUAAUAAAAGGGAAAAACACAAAAGAGGAACUUGGGCAAGUGGAGACAUCCUGUUUAAAUAGGUUGUACAUACCUUUGAGGUCAAGUACACUGUAUAUCCAAAACUUCAACUGAUGAAGCUGAUGGGAACUGCAGCUCAUCUCAAACUUCUUCAGGAUGCUUCAAAUAGACCGCAGAACUGAAAUUUAAU